rnacentral:rRNA from 1 species
GGAUCCAGACUUUGAUUAUGGCUCAGGAUGAACGCUAGCUACAGGCUUAACACAUGCAAGUCGAGGGGAAACGAUAUUGGAAGCUUGCUUCCGAUAGGCGUCGACCGGCGCACGGGUGAGUAACGCGUAUCCAACCUGCCCAUCACUUGGGGAUAACCUUGCGAAAGUAAGACUAAUACCCAAUGACGUCUCUAGAAGACAUCUGAAAGAGAUUAAAGAUUUAUCGGUGAUGGAUGGGGAUGCGUCUGAUUAGCUUGUUGGCGGGGUAACGGCCCACCAAGGCAACGAUCAGUAGGGGUUCUGAGAGGAAGGUCCCCCACAUUGGAACUGAGACACGGUCCAAACUCCUACGGGAGGCAGCAGUGAGGAAUAUUGGUCAAUGGACGAGAGUCUGAACCAGCCAAGUAGCGUGCAGGAUGACGGCCCUAUGGGUUGUAAACUGCUUUUAUAAGGGAAUAAAGUGAGUCUCGUGAGACUUUUUGCAUGUACCUUAUGAAUAAGGACCGGCUAAUUCCGUGCCAGCAGCCGCGGUAAUACGGAAGGUCCGGGCGUUAUCCGGAUUUAUUGGGUUUAAAGGGAGCGUAGGCCGGAGAUUAAGCGUGUUGUGAAAUGUAGACGCUCAACGUCUGCACUGCAGCGCGAACUGGUUUCCUUGAGUACGCACAAAGUGGGCGGAAUUCGUGGUGUAGCGGUGAAAUGCUUAGAUAUCACGAAGAACUCCGAUUGCGAAGGCAGCUCACUGGAGCGCAACUGACGCUGAAGCCCGAAAGUGCGGGUAUCGAACAGGAUUAGAUACCCUGGUAGUCCGCACGGUAAACGAUGGAUGCCCGCUGUUGGUCUGAAUAGGUCAGCGGCCAAGCGAAAGCAUUAAGCAUCCCACCUGGGGAGUACGCCGGCAACGGUGCAACUCAA